rnacentral:rRNA from 1 species
UGAGGAAUAUUGGUCAAUGGGCGGGGAGCCUGAACCAGCCAAGUCGCGUGAGGGAAGAAGGUGCUGAGCAUUGUAAACCUCUUUUGCCGGGGAACAAACGCCGUCACGAGCUGGCGGUUUGAGUGUACCCGGAGAAAAGCAUCGGCUAACUCCGUGCC